rnacentral:misc_RNA from 1 species
ACUCUAGCGCCGCCACAACUUACAAACGAAGCAAAUGUCGCCCCUGAAGAACCAUGAAUCCCACACAAAGAAGAGAUGUCCACACUGAAAAUGAGAGAAUGGACAUCCAUUCUCAACCAUAAGAGUCCCUGCAAGAAAAAUCUGCAUCCUCAUCUUAAGAUCACAAACACUCAUAAAAUCUAGAAAGCUCGACAAGGAGGUUUAGCAGAGCUCACUUUUAGAGGUGUUGGUAACGUCCCCAUAGAUAUCUAUCCUCUAGACCAACAAGUAAAGUAGCACUCUCAUGUGCAUAGCCUUAGAUCCUAGGCAGCCAUGGUCUAAGCAGAGUCAAAAAAGAAAUAUAAAAAAACUCAAAACAAA